rnacentral:rRNA from 1 species
AGAGUUUGAUCCUGGCUCAGGACGAACGCUGGCGGCGUGCCUAACACAUGCAAGUCGAACGGAGAAUUUCAAAGAGUUUACUUAGAGAAAUUUUUAGUGGCGCAGGUGAGUAACGCGUGGGUAACCUACCCAUAAAUCCGGGACAACCCUUGGAAACGAGGGCUAAUACCGGAUAAUCUUAAAGAGUGGCAUCACUUUUUAAGAAAAGGUGGCCUCUGAAAAUGCUACCGAUUAUGGAUGGACCCGCGUCUGAUUAGCUAGUUGGUGGGGUAAAGGCCUACCAAGGCGACGAUCAGUAGCCGGCCUGAGAGGGUGAACGGCCACACUGGGACUGAGACACGGCCCAGACUCCUACGGGAGGCAGCAGUGGGGAAUCUUCCGCAAUGGACGAAAGUCUGACGGAGCAACGCCGCGUGUAUGAUGAAGGUCUUCGGAUUGUAAAGUACUGUCUUUGGGGAAGAACAACAGGCUUGAAAAUAUUGAGCCAGCAUGACGGUACCCAAGGAGGAAGCCCCGGCUAACUACGUGCCAGCAGCCGCGGUAAUACGUAGGGGGCAAACGUUGUCCGGAAUUACUGGGCGUAAAGGGUGCGUAGGCGGUUUAUUAAGUCUAUGGUGAAAGUGCGGGGCUCAACCCCGUAUGGCCAUAGAAACUGGUAGACUUGAGUGCAAGAGAGGGCAAUGGAAUUCCAUGUGUAGCGGUAAAAUGCGUAGAUAUUUGGAGGAACACCAGUGGCGAAGGCGACUUCCUGGCCUGUAACUGACACUGAGGCGCGAAAGCGUGGGGAGCAAACAGGAUUAGAUACCCUGGUAGUCCACGCUGUAAACGAUGAGUGCUAGGUGUCGGGGGUAUCGACCCCCUCGGUGCCACAGCUAACGCAAUAAGCACUCCGCCUGGGGAGUACGGUCGCAAGACUGAAACUCAAAGGAAUUGACGGGGGCCCGCACAAGCGGUGGAGUAUGUGGUUUAAACCCAACGCGAAGAACCUUACCAAGGCUUGACAUCCCGUGACAGCUAUAGAAAUAUGGUCUUCUUAGUUUACUAAGACACGGAGACAGGUGGUGCAUGGUUGUCGUCAGCUCGUGUCGUGAGAUGUUGGGUUAAGUCCCGCAACGAGCGCAACCCCUACAGCCAGUUGCCAGCACAUAAUGGUGGGAACUCUGGCAGAACUGCCGUUGACAAAACGGAGGAAGGUGGGGAUGACGUCAAAUCAUCAUGCCCCUUAUGUCUUGGGCUACACACGUACUACAAUGGCCUGAACAGAGGGAAGCGAAACUGCGAAGUUAAGCGAAUCCCUUAAAACAGGUCCCAGUUCGGAUUGUAGGCUGCAACUCGCCUACAUGAAGUUGGAAUCGCUAGUAAUCGCAGGUCAGCAUACCGCGGUGAAUACGUUCCCGGGCCUUGUACACACCGCCCGUCACACCACGAAAGUCGGCAACGCCCGAAGCCAGUGACUCAACCGCAAGGAGAGAGCUGUCGAAGGUGAAGCCAAUGACUGGGGUGAAGUCGUAACAAGGUAACC